GACGAACGCUGGCGGCGUGCUUAACACAUGCCAGUCGAACGGAAAGGCCCUGCUUUUGUGGGGUGCUCGAGUGGCGAACGGGUGAGUAACACGUGAGUAACCUGCCCUUGACUUUGGGAUAACUUCAGGAAACUGGGGCUAAUACCGGAUAGGAGCUCCUGCUGCAUGGUGGGGGUUGGAAAGUUUCGGCGGUUGGGGAUGGACUCGCGGCUUAUCAGCUUGUUGGUGGGGUAGUGGCUUACCAAGGCUUUGACGGGUAGCCGGCCUGAGAGGGUGACCGGCCACAUUGGGACUGAGAUACGGCGCAGACGCCUACGGGAGGCAGCAGUGGGGAAUAUUGCACAAUGGGCGGAAGCCUGAUGCAGCAACGCCGCGUGCGGGAUGACGGCCUUCGGGUUGUAAACCGCUUUCGCCUGGGACGAAGCGUGAGUGACGGUAAUGGGUAAAGAAGCACCGGCUAACUACGUG
rnacentral:rRNA from 1 species